rnacentral:rRNA from 1 species
UCAAGAACUUUUCCACAAUGGACGAAAGUCUGAUGGAGCGACGCCGCGUGAUUGAUGAAGUGGUUCGCCACGUAAAGAUCUUUUAUGAGGGAAGAAGUAUAUUGACGGUACCUCAUGAAUAAGGGGCUCCUAACUCUGUGCCAGCAGGAGCGGUAAUACAGAGGCCCCGCAGCGUUAUUCCGCAAGAUUAUUGGGCGUAAAGGGUGUGUAGGUGGCAUUGUUAGUCAUUUGUGAAAGCCCGGGGCUUAACCUCGGAUCCGCGAAUGAAACGGCAAAGCUUGAGUAUGUGAGAGGUAAGCGGAACUCAUGGUGUAGGGGUGAAAUCCGUUGAUAUCAUGGGGAACACCAAAAGCGAAGGCAGCUUACUGGCACAUUACUGACACUGAAACACGAAAGCGUGGGUAGCGAAUGGGAUUAGAUACCUGC